rnacentral:rRNA from 1 species
CCUACGGGAGGCUGCAGUAGGGAAUCUUCCACAAUGGGCGAAAGCCUGAUGGAGCACCGCCGCGUGGGUGAAGAAGGUCUUCGGAUCGUAAAACCCUGUUGUUAGAGAAGAAAGUGCGUGCGAGUAACUGUUCACGUUUCGACGGUAUCUAACCAGAAAGCCACGGCUAACUACGUGCCAGCAGCCGCGGUAAUACGUAGGUGGCAAGCGUUAUCCGGAUUUAUUGGGCGUAAAGGGAACGCAGGCGGUCUUUUAAGUCUGAUGUGAAAGCCUUCGGCUUAACCGGAGUAGUGCAUUGGAAACUGGGAGACUUGAGUGCAGAAGAGGAGAGUGGAACUCCAUGUGUAGCGGUGAAAUGCGUAGAUAUAUGGAAGAACACCAGUGGCGAAAGCGGCUCUCUGGGCUGUAAAUGACGCUGAGGUUCGAAAGCGUGGGUAGCAAACAGGAUUAGAUACCCGUGUAGUC